AUACGGAGGGUGCGAGCGUUAAUCGGAAUUACUGGGCGUAAAGCGUACGUAGGCGGUUGGUUAAGUUAGAUGUGAAAGCCCCGGGCUUAACCUGGGAACUGCAUUUAAAACUGGCGAACUCGAGUUGAGUAGAGGGGAGUGGAAUUUCAGGUGUAGCGGUGAAAUGCGUAGAGAUCUGAAGGAACACCAGUGGCGAAGGCGACUCCCUGGACUCGAACUGACGCUGAGGUACGAAAGCGUGGGUAGCAAACGGGAUUAGAUACCCUAGUAGUCC
rnacentral:rRNA from 1 species